rnacentral:sRNA from 1 species
GCUGGGCACAGUGGCGCACACCUGUAAUCCCAGCAGCUUGGGAGGCUGAGGCAGGAGGAUCGCGAGUUCAAAGCCAGCCUCAGCAAAAGCAAGGUGUUAAGAGACUUGGUGAGAGCCUGUCUCUA